GAAAAAUGGUCUUUAAAGAAAAUGGCUGCCAUGAAAGCAAAAUGGCUGCCAACGGCUGGUACUCUGUGAAUUGCACAGUUUCUCUGAGAGGAUUUUGAGGGGGAGGGAUGAAGAGUUGCUAUUCUAGGCAAGUUGGCGGAACAUGUGCAACCUCCAUUUUGAAAUAAAGAUGGAUGCUACGGAAGGGCCACAGGAUAAAACUUCUGCCAGAGGACGACAUUGGACGGCACUCUACUCAUAAACUCAGUGGCGAAGUAUAUGGAAGCCUUGAAGGUCCAUGAAAAUGGAGAUUAGGCCAAAAUAUUAAUAGACCCCAUAAAUUGCUAUUUCUAAAUUUAAGUAAAGGGCGGCCUCCACCGUGCUGAGUCUGGAGUCUGUAGGGCAGCCAUGGAGGUCCUCUUUAAACCUCCCUAUGCCAAACAGGUCAACACGCAGGUGGACCACCCAAUACAUGAAUUUACGUGCUGAGCGUCUACAGGGAGUUAUGAUAACAGAAGAUGGCUUUAAUUCAUGCUACCAGCUAGAUUGCACCAAUGUCCACGUCAAAGCCUCACAUGGAGGUCUGGCUCCAAUUGGUGCAGUUCUGGAUAGCACGGUGUUAAUACAAUUUUAGCUCAUUGGUUAAGAAAAAAAUAAAAACAAAGUCCCUUUUUUUUUUUUUUUAUUAAGUUUUCUGCCACAUUUUUAUUUUUGGCAAAGCAUUGAUAUGGUCUGUAGAUAGGACGGCUGUAGGUAGAAACGCUGGGUGUGGCUGGUAUAAAGUAUAUUGGCGUGAUCGAAGAAUAUGAAGUAUAUCCAUUCGGUAUUAGACUGUAGGUUGAGAGAAGAGAUUGGAUUGAAGGAAUAUUUUAUUAAGAAAUAGCAAUCAAUUUAAAAUUGUUUAUUUUGCCUUCUAUCAGUUUGGAUCAAUAUUUAAUCGUUGUGAUGCAGUCAAUAUAUUUUGGCAAGAGGAAAUGAAAUGAUAGUAAAUAAGUGCAAAUUUAAUGACUCUUACCCCCAUUAUCCUCAUAUGUACACCAGAGAAUGAUCUCUCGCUCCAAGUGACAGUGCACCGCACAAUCUAACCACGUCAACCAAUUAAAUGUGCCAGGCAUAAAAAUCCAGUAUCUCCAGGUGAGGCUGAUGGGAGUUGUAGUCAUUCAGCAGAUGAGGAUCAGCAGGUGAUUAAAAGGGGACUAUCCCAUGUCAUACAUUCUGGAUAAACCAACAAAGUCCAAGGUAAUCACUUCAGUUGUGCAUGUAUCUAGGAAGUUAGAACAAUUUGCCUAACUCCUAUCAUGCUCAGACGGCCUUUUAGUGAUUAGCAGACAAAUACGCCUUUAUAAUGAUCGACAAACCAACUGCUGCUUACUGCAACUCCCAUUAUUAUAACAUCAUAUUGUCUGUCAGAAUAUCCUGUGCUAAAACCAGGGAAAGACAAAAAAACAAAUGACUGAAAUAAAUGUAUCAUAAAUCCGUCCCCACUUUAGAGAUAAAGGGAGCCAGCUCAGGCUUCAGAGGGAAGCGUUCCCCUCGGAGAUCAGGAGACUGUUAAAGAGAUCCUCAGACAUUACCUCCUACUUGCAAAUGGUUGAGCUGCUCACUGCUUAACCACAGGUGGAUUCAUGAAAAUAAGGAGGGCUCACACCCUUACUAAAGGAAUGUCCACGUGUGCAUGCCAAAUAGUGCGCCACCACAACACUUUGUCUUUAAGUCCUCUUUGCGCCAAAAAUAUAUUUUUCUUUUUACGAUUAUGAAUAAGUGGUUUCUUUUCGUACUCGGAAAGUGACGUACAGUUUGUAACUUUUUAAAGUUUUAUGUUUUUACGAAUGUGUUCCUCACCCAUAUUGGGUCUUAUAAUCUUGUGCUGUUUGUUUUUAGUACAAUGUUAACGAUAUAAGUUUACACGAGAGUCUGUCUAGCCAGGUGAAAUCAGCAUUUAUCGCUAAGCACAUAUACCCGCCAUCGCUUUCCAUCGUGCCACAUGAAUAUUACAGGAAGCCACAGGAUUCGACUAUUUACUUACAGGAACGCACAUACAGAAUGGAAAAAAAAGUGGUUAUAGACUCCCAAGACUCUUAGCCGCGUUUUGAGAGAGUUAUUGUGAGUAGAUAUAGUCUUUCCACGGCUGUUUCUGGAUUUGCAUCCUGGGAAUAAAAGCUGCAGGUCCCAAAACAGAAGGGCAGCUUGAGAUUUUCACUAAUAAUAAACUCUGCAUGUCUGGGGUCGGGGUGCAGUAACAUGAUGCUCUCCAACUAAACUACAUCUCUUUGAUUCUCAGCUACAUGUAGGCUGGACUAAUCGAUUGCCACUUGGAAAUGUGACCUUGUCUGUGACAGAGCUGUAAACCACCUCAAGCAUCUCUUAUGUGUCAUAUAUGCUUUUAAUAAAAAACACUCCAAGCACCAUAACCACUGCGACCCACUGUAGUGGUUAUGGUGUCAGGAGGGCCCUGGCACUAUCUCACAGUAAGUAGUCACACCAUUUUAAUAUAUUUUGACAAGUUACCUGGGUCCCCUGGCUGCCAGGUUAAUCAGCCCAUGUUUACUCAUACGAAUACUAGCCCAUUGGCUGAGAACAUUAGUAGAACGCUGUCACCCAAUGAGAGCGACCAUGGAUCAGCCGUGGUUUAUGGAGAACCCAGGUAAGUUGUGAUACCGUAAUUGAACAGUUUUAAACACGUAUAGUGGGACAACACCAGGCUGAAGUGGUCACAGUGCUUGAAAUGUUCCUGGAACAGGGUGGAAGUGUAAUAUAUAUAUAUAUAUAUAUAUAUAUAUAUAUAUAUAUAUAUAUAUAUAUAUAUAUAUAUAUAUAUAUAUAUAUAUAUAUAUAUAUAUAUACACACACACACACAUAUUUAAAAAGCGCAGAAUUACUGUACUUGCUGCACAGCCACAGGCUUUACAGCAUCUGCAGCGAUCUCUCAUUUAAGAGGAACGGCCGCAGACAGAGCAGAUCCCAUUUUUAGAUUGUUUGAUUCUCCGAUUGAGGUCUAAUAUAACGCAGUGACCGGAGUCAGACAAAUGGCGCAGCAAACUCGAAGCAGUUAAUUGUUAAAAAGGUCGGGCUGAGAUGUCCAAUCAGUAAGUGCCCCGAUUAGCAAUAUCAUUUGGUGCAAGUUUGGACAUUGUUGGCUGGGCAUGGCUCUUUAACAAUAUUAGAACUCUUCAACAGACACAAACAUAUAUAUAUAUUACAUAUCCGUGGGUUCAUUUUUACAAUGCCUUGCAGGAACAUAUAUUAGAUUUUAAUUGGGGAUUUGAUUUUCUUGUUACACUGAAGGUAUGAAAACGUGUACAUGAAUAUAUUUAUUGACUAUUAAAAAAAGCCCACAUAGUGGUAAACUAUGUAUUAAAUUAUAGUGUCCCUUUAAUUUCUUCCUGCUUUGAAACAUAUUUCACAUUAAAGGGCGUAUAAUCACGAUCCAGUACAUGUGCUCGUUUUAAUUAAUUAAAGCAUUAAAAAGCUUACAUGAGGCGUGAUGCCUCCGUAGGAGUGUGAGUAAGGGCUAAACGCCGCUGGAUUCCUGCCCGAAUUUACUGAACGCACAGAGAUACAAUCUGAUUCCUGCCCAAUUAAGGAACAUUUUCAGAUCAUUGGGGGGUACACACUCUCUAACUGCCAUUUUGGGUCUGUGGAGGCCAUUUUGAGUUUAUCAAUCUAUCAGAAUAUUGGUUCACUCAGAUUAUCAUUUCAUUUUACAUUUGGUCAUCUAACAGUGUUAAUGCAUUUCGGUUCUCAGUAUUUUAGCUACCAAAAAGUAUUUUGUUAAAAAAUUAUAUAUUGUUUUUAUGUAACAUAUUUUUUACAUUAUUGUAAAUUCACAAUUCAAAUCUAAAAUAAAAAGAAAUGUAUUUUUUGGGGUACUGUAUAUGGAAGGCUGAAAAUAAAUGAUACAG